GGAAGUAAGACUAUUCUGUGACUUUGUUUCAGUUGCCAUUUGAACUGCGCAGCACAAGGACAGAGAGAAUGACUGAGGUCCAGUAAAAGAAUGAUUAUGUGAAGAAAGACAUGGACGGAGCAAAGUUUAGGAUCCGUGUGAGGUCUAUGGAGCAAAAGAUUCUCUUCGGUGGUGAAGGUGGAGCCUCAAAGACAAAUGUGGAGAAAGACAUGGACAGAGCAGAGUCUCCAGGACCCAGCGGUGUGGUUAUGAAGACUGAUGAGUCUAUGGGAGCACGUCUGUUCUUCCGUCUAUUCUUCCAUUCAUGGUUAAUUCAAAUUCAUGGGUUCAUCAAACGUAUGAACGUUAUGAACAGCUCUGCAGUCUGAAGUCUGUUAAAACAUCGAUAAUCAGUUUGGAAUUCAAUGUUAAUGAGCGACGAAUAAAUCACUGAAACCUGCUUUGUCGUGUUUUUUUCACAUUAUUCACAUUUGUGCCGCUGUGACGUCACUCUGGCUUUUUAUGGCCUUUUUACAA